rnacentral:rRNA from 1 species
GAUGAACGCUGGCGGCGUGCCUAAUACAUGCAAGUCGAGCGAACGGACGAGAAGCUUGCUCCUCUGAUGUUAGCGGCGGACGGGUGAGUAACACGUGGAUAACCUACCUAUAAGACUGGGAUAACUUCGGGAAACCGGAGCUAAUACCGGAUAAUAUUUUGAACCGCAUGGUUCAAAAGUGAAAGACGGUCUUGCUGUCACUUAUAGAUGGAUCCGCGCUGCAUUAGCUAGUUGGUAAGGUAACGGCUUGCCAAGGCAACGUUGCAUAGCCGACCUGAGAGGGUGAUCGGCCACACUGGAACUGAGACACGGUCCAGACUCCUACGAGAGGCAGCAGUAGGGAAUCUUCCGCAAUGGGCGAAAGCCUGACGGAGCAACGCCGCGUGAGUGAUGAAGGUCUUCGGAUCGUAAAACUCUGUUAUUAGGGAAGAACAUAUGUGUAAGUAACUGUGCACAUCUUGACGGUACCUAAUCAGAAAGCCACGGCUAACUACGUG